rnacentral:rRNA from 1 species
CUACGGGUCGCUGCAGUGGGGAAUAUUACACAAUGGAGGAAACUCUGAUGCAGCAACGCCGCGUGGAGGAUGACACUUUUCGGAGCGUAAACUCCUUUUAUAUAGGAAGAAGAUGACGGUACUAUAUGAAUAAGCGCCGGCUAACUCCGUGCCAGCAGCCGCGGUAAUACGGAGGCCGCAAGCGUUACUCGGAAUCACUGGGCGUAAAGAGCGUGUAGGCGGAUUAAAAAGUCAGAAGUGAAAUCCUAUAGCUUAACUAUAGAACUGCUUCUGAAACUCUUAAUCUAGAAUAUGGGAGAGGUAGAUGGAAUUUCUGGUGUAGGGGUAAAAUCCGUAGAGAUCAGAAGGAAUACCGAUUGCGAAGGCGAUCUACUAGAACAUUAUUGACGCUGAGACGCGAAAGCGUGGGGAGCAAACAGGAUUAGAUACCCUCGUAGUC